UUACGGCCACAUCACAUUGAAUCACCAGUUCCCGUACAAUUACCGAAGUUAAGCAACGUCAAACCUAGUCAGUACCUAGAUGGGUGAACGCUUGGGAAUACUAGGA